UUAAUUUGACUCAACAUAGGAAAACUUACUAAGUCCAGACAUGGUAAGGAUUGAUAGACUGAGAGCUUUUCUUUAUAUAAUGGGUGGUGGUUCAUGGCCAUUCUUACUAUAUGGAGUGAUUUGUCUAGUUAAUUACUGAUACGCCUAAAUUACACCUCUUUUUUGAGAGAGUAAGUGAUCUCUAUCAAAUAUAGAACUCAACUGGGUUGGGUGUCGAAUCACACAAGGAAUAUUGUGUUCACUAAAUAUUGUGAUUGUUAUUAGACUGUUGAUCUAAGGUUCCUGAGUAC
rnacentral:ncRNA from 1 species